rnacentral:misc_RNA from 1 species
AAUGAGGUCAAGGCUCUUCCUCCACCAGAGAAUUAUACCUCUCGACCCCCUCCAGAGCCACGGCCAAAGCCACAACUGCAGCAGGUCACAGAAGAUUUGGUGAAUUUGAGGGAUGAUGCAGUUUCAGCUGAUGAUCAGGGCAACAAAUUGGCUCUGGCUUUGUUCUCUGGACCACCAAUUGCCAGUACAAAUGGUUCAUGGGAAGCAUUCCCAUCAAAUGGAGAUUCUGAAGUGACUUCAGCAUGGCAGACACCAGCUGCUGAGAGUGGUAAAGCAGACUGGGAAUUGGCAUUGGUGGAAUCCACUAGUAAUCUAUCCAAUCAGAAAGCAAUUUUAGGGGGUGGUAUGGAUCCACUACUAUUAAACGGAAUGUAUGAUCACGGGGCAGUGAGGCAGCAUGUGAACGCUACUCAAUUGAGUGGUGGGAGUGCAAGUAGUGUGGCAUUGCCUGGCCCAGGGAAGAGUGCAACGCCAGUAUUGGCAUUGCCUGCACCUGAUGGGACGGUCCAGCCAGUUGGGAACCAUGAUCCAUUUGCUGCAUCCCUUGCAGUUCCACCCCCUUCAUAUGUGCAGAUAGCAGACAU